rnacentral:tRNA from 1 species
UGGGGUGUAGCAUAACUGGCAGUGCACUCGGUUGUUACCCGAGAGAUUGUUGGUUCGAAUCCAGCCGCCCCAGCCA